UGCGUAGGCGGUUUGGUAAGUCAGAUGUGAAAUUCCUGGGCUCAACCGAGGAACUGCAUUUGAUACUGCCAGACUAGAGUACUGGAGAGGAGACUGGAAUUUACGGUGUAGCAGUGAAAUGCGUAGAUAUCGUAAGGAAGGCCAGUGGCGAAGGCGAGCCUCUGGACAGUAACUGACGCUGAGGCACGAAGGCUAGGGGAGCAAACG
rnacentral:rRNA from 1 species